rnacentral:rRNA from 1 species
AGUCAAUAGAUACCCGGGUAGUCCACGCCGUAAACGAUGAAUGCUAGCUGUUAGAAGUAUCGACCCUUCUAGUAGCGAAAGCUAACGCGUUAAGCAUUCCGCCUGUGGAGUACGGUCGCAAGACUAAAACAUAAAGGAAUUGACGGGGACCCGCACAAGCGGUGGAGCGUGUUCUUUAAUUCGAAGGUAAGCGAAGAACCUUACCAAGGUUUGACAUCCCGGUAGCCGUUUUCCGAAAGGAGAACUUCAUUUAGUUGGACCGGUGACAGGUGUUGCAUGGCCGUCGUCAGCUCGUGUCGUGAGAUGUUUGGUUAAGUCCAUCAACGAGCGCAACCCUUAUAGUUAGUUGGAUUUCUCUAGCUAGACUGCCCCGGUAACGGGGAGGAAGGAGGGGAUGAUGUCAGGUCAGUAUUACCCUUACACCUUGGGCUAGAAACACGCUACAAUGGCCAGUACAAAGGGCAGCCAAGUCGCGAGACGGAGCAAAUCCCAUCAAAGCUGGUCCCAGUUCGGAUAGGAGGCUGAAACUCGCCUCCUUGAAGUCGGAAUCGCUAGUAACGGUGAGUC